AUCCUCCAGCUACCCCACCAGCAGAGUGAAAAGUUUAAUCUAUGCACUUUGGUACCCUGAUCUGCUUCCAUGUGGAAUUGUGGACACAAGAGACAUACAAAUAUGUAGUUUAGUUACAAAAAAUUACAAAAAAAACAAGAGAGUGAAAUGUAGGGGAUAGAUUUGAGGAAUCCGCUCGAGAAGACAGAUUUGGGGAGAGCGAGUCUUUUAUAAGAUAAAAUUAUGCAGAACCAAAUAAUGGG
rnacentral:lncRNA from 1 species